GUGUCCGCUGGUUCAGUGACAGGCGGUCUUGAAAACCGCUAGGUCCUUACGGGGCCUCGUGGGUUCAAAUCCCACACCCUCCGCCA
rnacentral:tRNA from 1 species